AAAUGGCAGCCUCCAAUUAAGGGGCUCAUUCUAAGCAUAAGAAAACACAUCAAUUUGUUGUUGCAGAUAAUUAUACCCUCAUGAACAGAUGGUUCUAAAUGCUGUUUUCCGUUUGUGCU